rnacentral:rRNA from 1 species
CCUACGGGCGGCAGCAGUGGGGAAUAUUGGACAAUGGGCGCAAGCCUGAUCUAGCCAUGCCGCGUGUGUGAAGAAGGCCUUCGGGUUGUAAAGCACUUUCAGUGGGGAAGAAAGCCUUGGGGCUAAUACCCUCGAGGAAGGACAUCACCCACAGAAGAAGCACCGGCUAACUCCGUGCCAGCAGCCGCGGUAAUACGGAGGGUGCGAGCGUUAAUCGGAAUUACUGGGCGUAAAGCGCGCGUAGGCGGUCUGAUAAGCCGGUUGUGAAAGCCCCGGGCUCAACCUGGGAACGGCAUCCGGAACUGUCAGGCUAGAGUGCGGGAGAGGAAGGUAGAAUUCCCGGUGUAGCGGUGAAAUGCGUAGAGAGCGGGAGGAAGACCAGUGGCGAAGGCGGCCUUCUGGACUGACACUGACGCUGAGGUGCGAAAGCGUGGGUAGCAAACAGGAUUAGAUACCCUUGUAGUC